AGUGAACGCUGGCGGUAGGCCUAACACAUGCAAGUCGAACGGCAGCACAGAGGAGCUUGCUCCUUGGGUGGCGAGUGGCGGACGGGUGAGGAAUACAUCGGAAUCUACUCUGUCGUGGGGGAUAACGUAGGGAAACUUACGCUAAUACCGCAUACGACCUACGGGUGAAAGCAGGGGAUCUUCGGACCUUGCGCGAUUGAAUGAGCCGAUGUCGGAUUAGCCAGUUGGCGGGGUAAAGGCCCACCAAGGCGACGAUCCGUAGCUGGUCUGAGAGGAUGAUCAGCCACACUGGAACUGAGACACGGUCCAGACUCCUACGGGAGGCGGCAGUGGGGAAUAUUGGACAAUGGGCGCAAGCCUGAUCCAGCCAUACCGCGUGGGUGAAGAAGGCCUUCGGGUUGUAAAGCCCUUUUGUUGGGAAAGAAAUCCAUCUGGUUAAUACCCGGGUGGGAUGACGGUACCCAAAGAAUAAGCACCGGCUAACUUCGUGCCAGCCGCCGCAGUAA
rnacentral:rRNA from 1 species